CGCGCCCAGCAGCAAAGCCGCCGCGUCUCCUCCGUCAAACGCCUCGGCGGCCUGGACGAGCGUCAGGAGGAAAAGGCAGAGCAUCAUGCGAGAGUUUUGGUCUUUGGGAGCCAUGUUGUUGGUCGCCUGUGAGGAGGGAAGCGCAAGAGCAAUGACGACGCGUCAGAGCUCAGAUGCCGGCCGAGACGAUGGGCGACGGGUCUCAUGACUCAUGGCUGGACCAGUGAAAGAGAGACACUGUGAAAUGACUUCAAGCACUUCUGAAUUCCCCCCUCGAGUGCAAGCCUCUGUCCGAGGAACCAAAAUCCAAAACCAUUUCAUGGGCCAGUGCCUGGGUGAUUACAACGAGACCUUUUUGCCUCUCAAAGGCUAACGUAUGGCCACUCAAGCAAAACAUCUUGCAUCUUCAUUUUGUAGGUUCACCUUUUGAUUACUGCUUUGAAAACCUCUGCAGAAAUGUAUGGCGUUACCGAGCCCAAGUACCGAGUAUCACCCAAAACAAAUUCAAAAUACAGAGACACUCAUGCAUAUGACACACAUUUGUGGUUAUCAUUUCUGGGCUGUACUCAUUGUCUUUCUUCAAUGCUUUGUGUAUAUGUCCUGUGGUUGGUUAUUAGAAUUAUUGUUAGCAACUAUCAAUGCCAUUCAGUAUCUGAAACCAUUAGUGUCUUAAAUUGCAUUUUUCUAAUUAAAUACAAUUUUUCCCAUUACAAAUUAUGUCAUCAGCAUGACAAUUUGAAUGAAAACUUGAACUGAAAAAUGAACAUGA